rnacentral:lncRNA from 1 species
GCUCUUCCCUCCUUUGUCUGCAGGAGUUUCCUUCCUUCCAGGCUUUCUUUCUUUCUUUUCUUUCCUUUUUUUUUUAAAUCCCCUAGGGAAAGCCUGGGCCAGUCUGGCCCCCAGACAAGCCCCCUGUGGAGGCAGAGCCAGGACUGCCUUCUUGGACCUUCUCUCCUUCCCUUCCCUGCCGACUCCCUUCUCCCCACUUGCCUUAGGGACCAUUUAUUUGCUGUUUGGGAGUCAAACACCCUGGGGAACGGCAAUUGCUUUCUUUCACCACUAGGGGUCCAUAGAGAGAACUAUUCGGUUCAUAGAAUCGGAGAUGUUGAGCUGGACCAGACCUUAAGAGACCAUCCAGUCCUUCAUUUUACAGGACAGGGAACUGAGUCCCAGAGAAGUCCAGGCACUUGUCCAAGGUCCAACAGAAGAACUCUCCACUAUGGCCUGUCCAUCUUGGGUAAUCCUGGAUGCCGCACUGAAGUACACAAGCCCCUCUGCCAUGACAAGGCAGUGAGCCAGGAGAACACAUCUGUAUAUAGCAAAUACUUUGAGAGCCAAGCAAAGGUCCAGGUGGACCAGUGGCCCAUUAUGUUGUCCCCAGGCUAAAUGUGAGCUAGCCUUUGUCAUAAGGUUGGCUCCUUUUUGACCUCCAGUCAUGCCAGGCUGCUGACGGUGGAGAAUCUCCCUGGGCUCUCAAGGAAUCCAGACUGAGCAAUUUCCCAAGGGCAGAGACUGUUCACUUUUGUCUUUAGAUGGGAUGGGCGUCUUCCAUGCCUAGCACACAGCCCACUUAAUAAACGCUUAAUUGAUUGUUCUUUUCA